rnacentral:lncRNA from 1 species
ACGGAGUGUACUUUCGCAAGUCUUACCCGACUAAGGAAAAAUGACUCUCAAGGAUAUGCUGGUUAAAUAGGAAUCAAGGAAAAGGCUUUAGCAAGAAUCAACUUAGAUACUUUUGCAUAAAUAGCUUACUAAAGUGAUUCCUUACUUUCAAUAUUUUAACGCCAGAUUAAAUAUUAAUAGACUCUGGUUGCAUCUAGUCUAAUUUCACCAUCUCAUCAAUACAACAUCAUUUUUACUCAUAAUGUUUACAUCCUGACUUAGGUUGUAGGUCGGAGAUCAAGUCUCCACUCUCCGGGGAUAUAACAGUGAUCUGAAUCGAUUUACUCAGCUGAGGAUCUCUAACCACACAACAUAUGUAGCACUUAACCCUUGCAUAUGUA